UCCUACGGGGGGCAGCAGUGAGGAAUAUUGGUCAAUGGGCGCGAGCCUGAACCAGCCAAGUAGCGUGAAGGAUGACUGCCCUACGGGUUGUAAACUUCUUUUAUAAAGGAAUAAAGUGAGGCACGUGUGCCUUUUUGUAUGUAUUUUAUGAAUAAGGAUCGGCUAACUCCGUGCCAGCAGCCGCGGUAAUACAGAGGAUCCGAGCGUUAUCCGGAUUUAUUGGGUUUAAAGGGAGCGUAGAUGGGUUGUUAAGUCAGUUGAGAAAGUUUGCGGCUCAACCGUAAAAUUGCAAUUGAUACUGGCAG
rnacentral:rRNA from 1 species